GGAUAGAGGCGCGGUAAUCAUCAGUAGCGUCCGGCAAGGGCAGGCAGCCGCCGGAUGAGAAAGGGAAAACCGCCGAAGCGUUGAAAAAGUGCCUGCUUUUUCAGCCGCUGGGCCGUCGGAGAAUAUCUGCCGGACUGUCACAUUAAUUUUGUGAAGCGCUAUC
rnacentral:ncRNA from 1 species